GAUGAACGCUGGCGGCGUGCCUAAUACAUGCAAGUCGAGCGAACAGACGAGGAGUUUGUUCCUCUCACGUUAGCGGCGGACGGGUGAGUAACACGUGGAUAACCCACCUAUAAGACUGGGAUAACUUCGGGAAACCGGAGCUAAUACCGGAUAAUAUAUUGAACCGCAUGGUUCAAUAGUGAAAGACGGUUUUGCUGUCACCUAUAGAUGUAUCCGCGUCGCAUUAGCGAGUUGGUAAGGUAACGGCUUACCAAGGCAACGAUGCGUAGCCGACCUGAGAGGGUGAUCGGCCACACUGGAACUGAGACACGGUCCAGACUCCUACGGGAGGCAGCAGUAGGGAAGGUGGCGCAAUGGGCGAAAGCCUGACGGAGCGACGCCGCGUGAGUGAUGAAGGUCUUCGGAUCGUAAAACUCUGUUAUUAGGGAAGAACAAUUGUGUAAGUAACUAUGCACGUCUUGACGGUACCUGAUCAAAAAGCAACGGCUAACUACGUG
rnacentral:rRNA from 1 species